rnacentral:hammerhead_ribozyme from 15 species
AAUGAGUCAAGUGACGCGAACAUCUCUGAUGAGACCCUCAAAAAGGUCGAAAUUCGAU